UACUCUUUAGCCAAUGUUACUGUUUCAAGUCGGGUCGUUAUUUGUACAAUAAAACAAGCUGUAAACUUGGGACAAGCCAACAUGGCCGGUCUCCUGGGAGACGCAAGAGUUACUGUGGUUGUGUAGUUGUCUGCCUGUAACAUGAGCACUGUUGGCCACGUCAUGCAGCCGAGACCAGGCUGCAUGUUUCGCUCCGCUGCUCGUUUCUCUUGCCCUGCUUUCACAGUUCAUUUACUCCAUCAAGAAGGAUCCGAUCACACACAGUCAACAAUGGCAGGGGAGAGUGACGGGCAUGACUGGAAGGGAGCAGCUCAAGACCCGGCAAGGCGCGCUUGAUGCAUCGACUAUUCAGUGCAUAGAAUACGCUUACUAGUAUUCAAAGACAAAACCUCUACAUAGCUAAGAUGGAGUUGAAGGAACGUUCACCAUAGGCCAAAUCAUAGGAGGACCAGACAGGCCUGUCUAUAGAACUCGAGUCAGGUGGUUAUGACAGAUAUAAUGAAGCACUUGUGCUGCCUCGCAGAGUGUUCGACUUGGCUAGCCAGCUCCUAGGCUGGUCUUGACAGAUGCUUUAAUUUACGAGCCGAUUCGCAGGAACUGUACUUUUUCAUGUUCUGUACAGAUCGUGUACCAUUAUUUUGGAGAGCACUGAAAGUGAUUUGAACCCAGGCAGCGGAGGAAUUCCUAUGAUUUACUGCCAAGGAAGAAGAGAAUGAGAAUCAUGCUUAAAAAUUGAGUUCAUCUCAGCCUUCCCCUGCCUCAAUAUAUGUAUGUAUGUAUAUGUAUUUGCAUGUGUGUGUGUGUGUAUAUAUAUAUAGACACACACACAUACA